GGGAGUAAAAGUCGUAACAAGGUUUCCGUAGGUGAACCUGCGGAAGGAUCAUUAAUGAGUUGUCAUGGGGUUCGAUGCUGGCAGCCAAUUUUUGGAUGCAUGUGCUUGCCCUAACAAUCAUCUUCCAAACACCUGUGCACAUUUUUGAGGGAGUCUUGAGUUGGUUGCCGCUCUUGGGUGAUUUUCUCACAUUCCCUUAAAUCAUUAUACGCUAUUAACAAUGUUGAACGUGCUCUGUGCCGCAAGGCUAUUAAUAUAAUACAACUUUUAACAACGGAUCUCUUGGCUCUC
rnacentral:misc_RNA from 1 species